rnacentral:lncRNA from 1 species
AGUUAUUAUUUUUCAUCCCUUCCUUUCUCAAUAGCUUCGUUAUUUUUGACCCGACUUUAUCUUAUUCGAUCGAUCGAUUCAAUCGCGCUUCGUUCGCCGUCCAUCACAGGUACAUGCCCCUCUUCUCUCCACUCUUUUAUCUCCUCUAUCUCCUACAUCUAUUCUCUGAAAUUGAUUUUUCUGUUGUUCUCUUUCAGUUCGGUAAGACAUCUGAUCUCAGUUUAUUCAUUUAUAAUUUCUUUACUUUGUUCAUCCAUUUGUGCUUAAUCAAAUCUGAUUUUGGUGCUCAAUCAAAUCUGAUUUUGGUGCUCAAUGCGCACCACAUCUUUGAUGUAUUGACGCUAUGAAGAUUACAACAAACCCUGUUUAUAUUGUUGGGGGCUUUUCACUUGCAUUCAUGUAGAUAGCAGUUCUAUUUUACAUUGGUGUCAAGCAUUUUAUCUCCAUUAUAGCAAUAUUGCAAAUUGUUUCAUGGAUCGGUGUUAUUAGGCAUUACUAGCUGCUUUCUCUUAUUGUUCAAAAUCUUUCCAUUUUAUCAUCUCUUACCAGCAUUGAUGAAUUAUAAAGCCUUUCCUAUUCCAAAUUUUAAGCUGACUUCACAUUCUGGUUUUGAUGCUGAGCUGUGUACAUCUAAUACAAUUAGUAGGCUGGCAGUAUUGUAGGCAAUUGCUAUGGCGGUCUUGGUGCUGUUGGUUGUUUGUUUACAUGACAAGGUUGUGCUUGAAAGAAUCAAGAUUACGGAAUUUCUGUAAUGUUUUUCUUUCAUUAUUCUUAUUAUGUCGAACACUAGUUGGCAGGAGUAAAAUACAGUUUAGACUUUAGAAGAUGCUGUAAAACGAGUGUAUCUGUGUGCUGUUUUAGCUCAUCCAUGCAAUACAUUAUAUCACAAAUAAUAUAGUAUUAUAUCCAGUUACUUAUAUUUUUUUUUAAG